UACAGAGGUCUCGAGCGUUAGGCGGAAUCACUGGGCUUAAAGCGUGUGUAGGUGGAUCGUUAAGUACCUUGUGAAAUCCCACGGCUUACCCGUGGAACGGCUGGGUAUACUGGGAGUCUUGAGCCACCUAGGGGCGAGUGGAACAAAUGGUGGAGCGGUGAAAUGCGUAGAUAUCAUUUGGAACGCCAAUGGUGAAAACAACUCGCUGGGGGUGUGCUGACGCUGAGACACGAAAGCCAGGGGAGCGAACGGGG
rnacentral:rRNA from 1 species